ACUUCAAAUACACCAGGUGAUAAGGAACAGAGUUAUGCUACCCAGCAAGUUCACUUGAAAUUCAAUUUUUCUGAGGUUUCACUGCCUUGGUCUAACUGAUUACUCACUUGGUUGAGCUCUAUGUUCGAUCAACCCCACCACCGCUGUGUGAUAACAACAGGCAUAUAUUUUUUAGUAUAAAUAAUUCCAGGCACUGAAAAAGAAUAACAAGAUUUACUCAAAUCUCUUGGAACAUUUCAGCGGUUUAAAGUUUAGCCAAAGACAAAGAUUUCUCUUCUCAGAUUUGCCACUUAGAUAUUGAGCCGUAUGUCCUAGAAGUUGAAGGAGUAAGUGCUGGAGAACAAUAAGCCCAAGUUAAAUAGGCACAUACAGCAAAUAUUGGCUGAAAACUGACAAAAGCAAGACAUUUCCUAUUAUGUUAGAAAACCUGCUCCCGAGAAUCUGAAGAAUAGAACAUGGAAUAGGAAAUGGACUUCAAUCCCUUCUUUUCCAUUUUAAAGGACAGAGACAUCAUUGCACAACAGUGUCUCAGCUGUGUAGAAGACAAGGAUGGUUUCAUACAUGCAUAGCACUGAA